UCAAUGCAUGCAUAUUUGAUUCUUUUAAACUGAACUAGCUUCUAGCCUCAUGCAUACUGAUGGCUCAGUGGAUGCUAAGAAGAGCACAGUUAUAGUCAAAUAGAUGUCAAAUAGAUGGACAGAAGGUUCCUUCCAAUCUAUGUGUUUGUGUGACAGUGUGCCCUCCAUACGUACCAAUACAAUAGCUCUUACGAUAUUUGUGCUCGCCAAAUGGCGGAGAUGGGUGGAGUCAAACAAGACAGGAUGCUCUCAAUUCUGAAUCAAUGGUCAGUUGUUCCGAUAAUUAAAGGCCAUUGGAUACUAUGCCCUGGUUACCGGGAGAGGUAUCAUAAUUAUCUUUCCCUGCAUUGUACAC